AGGAGACAGGAAAACACUUUCAACAUCUUGAUUGGAUAAAGAGAACCUGGCAGAGAGCUUCACAGGAACUGGCAGACUAGAGGCAACUUGACAAACAAGUUUCACAGGAACUCACAGGACAACCUGGCAAGGGAGUUUUGGAGGAACGCUCAGACGUGAAUCCUGGAGUACAUCAAUCCUGAAUCACCCAGCAAUGUUCAUUCUGACUUGACGAUGGCCGCCUUCAGCCUAAAGAUUUGACAAGCCAUAGGAUCAUCUCAAUGGAAGAAGGCUGUGGAGGAAAACUAACUCGGCAUUUGCAUCUUGGAGUAAAGAUAUUGGUUCUUUAGUUCUUUAUAAAGGGAAGACGUUUGUCUCAAGAACUUCUUCUUGGUUGGGCAGGCCAGCAAAGCAUCAGUCCUUUCUGAACUGAACUACAACAGACGGUACAGAGUGACAAUGCAAUGACACCUUUCAAAGCAAUAAUACAUCGGGUAAUGACAGGAGUGUCAUGCCAUGCUUCUUGAUUCUUCUCUGUUCAAGGAUCAACUGUUAUCAGCAAGCCAGCAAGCCACCAAGCAUCUUAAAAAGGAUUUAAGCUUCUUACAAAUUCAGACGACAUUAGAACAGCAAAGUUAGAUUGCCACUGCUUGUUGGUAGACGCUAUUAAGGCCUUGUCACAUGAGGAAACUUUGUAGGCAACUUGGAGGCAACCAACUGUGCAUGCUCGGGACCACUUUGGUAUUACAGGAGUCAUUUUUUAAAUAAUGUUUUAUAAUUCCUUAAAAAAUUAUGAGAACAUUCAACAUGUGAAUCAAAUCUUAUCUUGGAGAUCGCCUGGAACUGGUUGCCUGUAAAUUGCCUCGUGUGACAUUGCCUUUAGAACACUCGGAAAACUGUAUCUUGUUCAAAAAAUUUCUUCAACUCUUCAACUGAGCAGCAAUGGGAUUCCACAAACAAGGACAGCAAGUUGCGCAUAUGGAUGAACAUUACCAAGAACUUCUCACGUUAGUCACAAGGAUUGUGUCUUCAUCAGCUAUGUACCACAGAAAGACUUUCUCCAAUCAUUGACAUUUUUGACAUUACGAACGGUUAAACCACUGUUACGUGAAACUGUUAAAGGCACUGGACACCUUUGGUAAUUGUCAAAGACCAGUUUUCUCACUA